rnacentral:tRNA from 1 species
GCCCGAUUAGCUCAGCUGGUUAGAGCGUCGUACUAAUAUCACCUUCAAGGUAUAUUCAGUCAUGCGAAGGUCAACAGUUCAAUCCUGUUAUUGGGCA